UCGAUAAUGUUAGAAAUACUAAAUGUAUUUAUCAAUCCUACCCUUCCCUGUAUUUAUCUUAAGUAUUUAUUCUCUAUGUUGAGCAAACUGCAGGGACUAAAGGUGUCAAGCUGAGUAUUAAAGGGCUGAAAUGUGCAGUAAAGACUCAAGAGGGAAAAGAAUGAAGAAAAGGAUGAUUAGAGGGUGCUGUAUGAAAAUAAGUCACACUCCUGCUUCAGAGUUUCUGUGCCUAUAAAAUCCUUGCUCACUGCCAUAUAACAUUCAUCUUUUCAGCUGUUAUUCUUCCUAGUAUUUUGAAUGUUCCAAAAUCCUUGUUGUACGAAAAGAUCCGUUAUAGUCACAUAGGCUGUAACGUUACUGUUUCUGUCCUUGUUUAUCUUGUAGAAUAGGCUAUUGGUUAAGAUUGACUGGCUGUUGCUUCAAAUACUGUUCAGGAUAUAUAUAUAUAUAUUGUCCCUUUAUUUACUGACUGGAAUUACUGUUGGCGACACCACUGUUUAGAGCAGUAGGUUUGCCUAUGGACCGCUUUUGGACUUUGUGUUUGCAUAGUGAACGAAGACUUGUAAUGCAAACAAGUUUAUCUUUUAUUUCGGAUUUGGACUU